AUAAAAGCUACUUUCGCAUGAAAGAAGUUUAAAAGGCGGCGUAAGCUGUCGCUAAAGGAUGGACCUGCGAUGCAUUAGCUAGUUGGUAAGGUAACGGCUUACCAAGGCGAUGAUGCAUAGCCGAGUUGAGAGACUGAUCGGCCACAUUGGGACUGAGACACGGCCCAAACUCCUACGGGAGGCAGCAGUAGGGAAUCUUCCACAAUGGACGAAAGUCUGAUGGAGCAACGCCGCGUGAGUGAAGAAGGUUUUCGGAUCGUAAAGCUCUGUUGUUGGUGAAGAAGGAUAGAGGUAGUAACUGGCCUUUAUUUGACGGUAAUCAACCAGAAAGUCACGGCUAACUACGUGCCAGCAGCCGCGGUAAUACGUAGGUGGCAAGCGUUGUCCG
rnacentral:rRNA from 1 species